GACACAAUGCCUUUAACAAUAACUAGAACAUUAUAAUUCAUACCUAGAACAUACAUUCCACAUACAGUAAUACAAUAAAGAUGAUUGUAGAUGUGGAUGAUAAACCUUGUGGAUGAUAAUAACAUAUUUUGGGCUUUCCAAGUGGAAAUGGCAAAGCAAAUCCCAAAUACUAAAUAUAUGUUUUCAGAUUACACACUGGAAUGCUUGUAAUACAACGACUAUUACAUCCUCACUAAGAAAUAUCCCAUAACCAGCUGGGGGUAGAUUGAGUAGAACUGCAUACCUAUAUACUGCGUCAGUGUACAACUCCAGCUCCUCUGCCAACACUGAUGCCUUCCGAAAUAUCACUGUGCCAUUAAAAUAAGCCAGGAACCUGUCCCAGACCCCCAAGUCCGCC